GUGGAAAGCAGAAAACAACAACAGUCAGCUGUUUGCUGUAAUUCAUUUAAAGUUCCUUUGCACGUUGCCACACGUCACUUAGACUGAUAUCAUUAUAACUACAACAGCCUAUUAGCGUGAAGAAUUUGUUUGCUCUCUCUCACUACAUUAAAUAUUAUUAAUAAAUUCUUAUAUACUUAGAGCAAACAGAAAAUUGUUGACUGAGACUUGAUUCCUCGAAAUUAUUCGGAUACGGAGACAAACUCUUUGCAUGCACGGAUAAAUUGAAUAAUAAAAUAACCUUUAAAGAAACAAGUUAACAAUGUCUUCGCACGAAGAAAAACCAGAAUACACAGAUGACUUUGACGAGUAUAAUAUUAACCAAGACAAAUUUAUUCACUCCAGUCACAGUGGUAAAGGGCGGUCGAAGAAAGAAGCUGGGUUACAUACCAACCAUGCCGAUCCAGGAGGACAUACGCGCAAAACUGUUAAUAAACUUGUUAAUAACAGUCAUAACACCCAUAAACCACAUAAUCCGACUGGGGAGGGUCAGGCAUCAAAAAAGUGAAUGAUGGCAUCUGAAAAUGUAAGUAAAAAGUGUGUGUUUAAAUGUAUCUUUGUGCAGUAACGUAACUGGGAGGGAGACGUGCUGCAUCCAAAAAGAUGUCAGUAGAACGGGAAUAUUUUUAUGGGGCCGGCACACUUGUGCUUGGGUGUCACACACUCCAAGUCACUUCACUGUCUAUGCAUAUAUGCAAGUAUGUAUAUCUUUGCGCGUAUGUUUAUGUAUUUAUGCAUAUACGUACGUACGUAUGUAUGCAUGUAUAUAUGAAUUUAUGCAUGUGUGUAUAUAUAUGUAACGAUAAUUAUAUAUAUAUUCGUGUGUAUGUGUACUCCCCUGCCGCACAUACAGUAAUCAACUUCGCGUUACAGAAACUCUGUUUACGGAAUUUCGCACAUGAGGAAAUUGUAAAGUAUGAACGCCGUUUUCUGGAUACGGCUUGUAAUUCCACCUUUUCAGAAAUUCAGGUAAACUUUUGCAAGUUUAUAAACUAAAAUCGUAUUGCAUGUACAUGUAUUAAAAUAUCGUGUGAUCCUUUGCGGGUGAGUGAUGUUGUCUACAAAUACAGAAGGAUUGCUACUCAUUGUUUUUAGAAAUAGACCUUGAGCGAGGAACGCUAAUAGGUGGAGGUAAAGAAUACAUACACCGCCCGUUUUCGGCGUAACAAAAACCCUAACCCUAACCACCAGGUAUACGCAUUCUUUACUUUCGCCCGUUUAUAUGCAUGGUCGUUCCAGUAGUCAUUUAUUUGUCUCCAUUCUGUAUAGAGUUUCGUAGCUAAUAGCUCGCCAAAUCCCUUUUCGGUAAAUUUUUAUAUUAACACCCGCACGAUUUUCACCAAGAAAAAUAUCUAUAAGACAGGUUUAUAAAAAUCGAAUAGCUAUGGGGGUCCAUCAGAAUAGAGUAGUAAGGCGGCGAGCUGGCAGAAACUUUAGCAUACUGAAUGAAAUGCUUAGCGGUAUUUUGUCUGCGUUACGUUGUGAGUUCAAAUUCCGCCGAGGUCGACUUUGCCUUUCAUCCUUUCGGGGUCGAUAAAUUAAGUACCAGUUACGCACUGGGGUCGAUGUAAUCGACUUAAUACCUAUGUCUGUCCUUGUUUGUCCCCUCUGUGUUUAGCCCCUUGUGGGUAAUAAAGAAAUAGGUAUUUUGUCUGCCGUUAUGUUCUGAGUUCAAAUUCCGCCAAGGUCGACUUUGCCUUUCAUCCUUUCGGGGUCGAUUAAAUAAGUAUCAGUUUCGCACUGGUGUCGAUGUUAUCGACUUAAUCCGUUUGUCUGUCCUUGUUUGUCCCCUCUGUGUGUAACCCCUUGUGGGCAGUAAAGAAAUAAGAAUAGAAUGGUAAUCAAAGGGGUCCAUAGGUGAAAAUGGUUGAGAACCCCUGCUUUAGAGGGAAAUCAGAAAAUGAAUAUGGUGGAGGUGGAGGAGUAUUGCCAAUGCGAGGUGGUGGUGCUGAUUGACUUGGGAGAAAGUACUGUGUGAUAAAAGUUAGAAACAAGAAGGUUAAUUGAAUUGAUGCACACACAAAUAAUAUGUUGGUCAACAUCUAUGCUUUUCUUCCUUGUCCACCAUGAACCAGUUCAACCGAUUUUAUUUUUCACUGCUCUCAAUAUUCUUGCCAACUUCUACCUGUGCUCUCUUCUGCUCUUGUUGGUGUGUGCAUCAAUUCAACUAACCUUCUUGUUUCUAACUUUUAUCACACAGUACUUUCUCCCACGUCAUUCAGCACUACCACCCCACAUUGGCAAUACUCCUCCACCAUAUAUUCAUUUUCUGAUUUCCAUCUAAAGCAGAGUUUCUCAACCACUUUUACCUAUGGAUCCCCAUAGCCAUUCGAUGUUUAUAAACUAGUUUUAUAGAUAUUUCUUUCGGAACUCCUCUGUUUUGUUGUUCACACAUUGACUUGUGUAGGUUGAACUAUGUAAAAUGUUAGAGAAAGAAGCCGAGCUGUUUCUUGCAGUACAUACCAAUACAUACAUCUAAAGCAAAAUGUUUUCGGGGCCCCUUGAAAUACUAUUACUCUUUUACUUGCUUCAGUCAUUCGACUGUGGCCAUGCUGGAGUACUGCCUUUUAGUCGAGCAAAUCGAUCCCAGGAAUUAUUCUUUGUAAGCCUAGUACUUAUUCUAUCGGUCGCUUUUACUGAACCGCUAAGUUAUGGGGACAUAAACACACCAGCAUCAGUUGUCGAGCGAUUUUUGGGGGACAAACACACACACACACACACACACAUAUAUAUAUAUACGAUGGGGUUCUUUCAGUUUCCAUCUACCAAAUCCACUCACAAGACUUUUGUUGGCCCGAGGCUAUAGUAGAAGACACUGGCCCAAGGUGCCACGCAGUGGGACUGAACCUAGAACCAUGUGGUUUGGUAAGCAAGCUACUUACCACACAACCACUCCUGCGCCUAUGAUUCCCAAUUUAUUAUUUUGUUGUGAUGACCCCCCAAAAUCUUAUAUGUACCCUGGUUGAGAACCACUAACCUAAAGUAAUAGGACCACUUCAUUUUGUGAACAAAGAACAUUCACUCUUCGUGAAUGCAGAACAUCACGACUACUACUUGCUGUGUCUGUCACCAGAACUGUUAGAAUUAACUACAAACACUAGCAGUAUAGCACAUUGCCCUUUCAAGAUGACAGAAAAGAGGUCACUAAGUGGAAAGCAAAGCAGUAGAGCAAAGAUGGGUCAUCAAGAAAGUUAUGUUGAACUUUAAACCUUUACAAAGUAUUUUACAAAGGAUUUGUGUGUGACAAAAACAUUUCAAGCACAUUAAUGUUUACAAUGUCUACUGAGUGUCAAUAAUAAUGACACGUAAUAACAAAACAAAUCAAGUGUUAAAGCUGUGACUUUGUUAACUGUUCAGACAUUUUAUUGCCCUAGAUGUGAUAUGAUGCAAUAACAUGGAAUGUGUUUGUUUGUAUGUUUCCAUUUUUUUAUGCAUUGGUUGAAUUCGUGGUGCCUUUAUGUGUGCAUACAGUGUGCUUAGGGGUACAGUAUAUGUGGGGACUUAUAUUGGGGGGGGGAAGGCUUUUGGGUAGGUGUCCGGCGUGUGUGUGUUUGUGGGUGCAUUAGCGUAUGUUCUGGUCAAACUAUUUGCUGGACUCCCAGGUAUUAGUGGAGGACCAAAGUUGGGGGACUGAUGAUUAUAGGCAUUAUGGAGCAUCCAUGUAUGAUAGACUGUACUUCCUCUCAUGUGGGCAAGGAUUAAAAAUUUCGCUUCUGCUAUUCAGGUAAAUGCCUAGGUGUUGGGUGCUCUCUAAAAUUGCUCUUUUCUCAACCAGGCAUAACCUGCACUUUCUGCUGCUUUUGAAGUGUGCUUUGCAUUUCUCCAGAAUCUUCCACUUUACGUUGUACUUGGUUGUGCUUUUUUUUCAAAAACUAAAUGUGCUAAGCCAGGGUUGUGGCAUUAUGUCUCUCCAGGAUUUUGAAGGAGGACUUGUGCUUCUGAAGGGGCCUUCAGUUGCUUCCACAUACUUUUGCCCUCUUGGUUGCCCAUUUGGUCCUAUGGCUGUUACCACUGCCUCAUAAACAACAGUCUCCAUGUUAUAGUGGCCAUUCAGUGGACAUGUUGUGUUAUCCCUACAUGAGCAUCUUGCCUCUGUCACAGGUGUGGGCCUACCUACUAAAUUUUUUUUUUAUAUUGGGUGCACAGCUAAAAGGAAAACUUAGGGUAUGCAUAUUGAAUAUUUUGCUAAAUCUAUUGGUACAGGGGAAGUGCUUAUCUACUAAACUAAAGAAAAUCUUACCUAUGCAAAUUUUAACACUGCAUAGGUAAGAUAAGAGAAGAAGAGUGUGAACCACAACACCUUGUGGUGGUACAUUCUCUUGCAAAGGUUAGUCUGGUGUGUAACUAAUUCGAUCCUCAUAUACAUAAGCAAAUAUAGGAUAUUUGAAACUUCAUUGUUUAAAUGUACAGAAUAAUGUGUGCCAUACAUAACACACAAAGCUUCAUUUAGAACUGAAAAAUAAUGUCAUCCAAAAGUUUCUCGUUGUUUCGCACCUAAUCUUAUGACCUUGCUUGGAAACUCUGCACUUCACAUGCCACCAUUACUUGUAUUGGUGUAAUUUUCUGGUGAGUAAUAGCUUUCAUUUUACCCAGUGUGCAUUGUUCAUUGAUGCACAUUUUCCAUUUGAAGUAACCCCAAAAGAAAUAAUCACAAACUGCAUGAGCUGGGUGAUCAACCAGACUAUGACAUUGAUCAAAUGUUGUAAAAUGACCGGUCAGUAACCAUCUUUUCUUUCUUUUUUAAUGGCAUCCAUUAGGAUGUUUUUGAAAGAUACUAUAUUUUAUCACCAGAAUAUACUCUUUACUCUUUUACUUGUUUCAGUCAUUUGACUGUGACCAUGCUUGAGCACCGCCUUUUAGUCAAGCAAAUCAACCCCAGUACUUAUUCUUUGUAAGCGUAGUUCUUAUUCUAUCAGUCUCUUUUGCCGAACCACUAAGUUACAGGGACGUAAACACACCAGCAUCGGUUGUCAAGCGAUGUUGAGGGGACAAACACAGACACACAAACAUAUACACACACACACACAUAUAUAUAUAUACAUACAUACAAUGGGCUUCUUUCAGUUUCCGUCUAUCAAAUCCACUCACAAGGCUUUGGUCGGCCCGAGGCUAUAGUAGAAGACACUUGCCCAAGGUGCCACGCACUGGGACUGAACCUGGAACCAUGUGGUUGGUAAGCAAGCUACUUACCACACAGCCACUCCUACGCCUAUUAUAUAUACUUUCUCACACAACAAUUAAGUUAUAUUUAUUUUAAAUCGUUUGUCUUUCUCCCCCAGACCUCACACACAAAAAUUAAUUUGGGCGCAAUUUUUAUUUUUAUUUUGUUUUUCUUAGUUAAAAUCAUGCUGGUGAAAAGAUCAAUGGGGUUGGGGGUGAAAUUUCCGAGGCUUCCACCUCACCCCACCCAAUUUUUCGGACCCCUCAAGCCACAUAAAGCGGUUCAGUGUUAUAUGAUGUACAUUUCACUGAUAUGUGUGAAAAGAUGAUGUUUGUAUAUGUGUGUUAGUAGUUCACCAAUAGAUUAGGCAGGGUUUGAAGUGUAUAUUUUGGGAGUGAUUGUUAAGGAAUGUGAAAAAUAAGCGUAUGGGAUGGUCACAAUGGAUUUUUAAUGUAAAGUGUUUAAGGUUGUGGAGCACUUUGAUGGUUAGUCAAGCAUGUCAUUCAUGUUAAUGUGGUCAAGAAGUUAGUGUGUGUGUAUAUAUAUAUAUAUAUGCACAUACACUCACACACCCAUAUAUAUAUAUAUAUAUAUAUAUAUAUAUAUACACACACACUCACACACACAAACACACACACAUUGGUAUAUAUGUAUAUACAUAGAUACACGCGUACACACACAGUUACAUAUACACAAGAGCCUGGGAACAGAGUGUGCAAGUGGUGCGCUUGCAGCCCCUAAAAUUUCUGGUGGGUGCAAAAUGAAAAUUUGCACUUGUGACAUACUUUGCCUAGUUUAGAAGAUAGUGUCUAAAAACUGAUCUGUAAAAUGUUGCUUGAAGUUGAGUUUCUUCUUAAAACAAGGACAAAAAUAAAUAAAUAAAUAAAUAGUCCAAAAUGUUAACUGAUGAAGCUGGCCAUAAAAUUCUCAAGAGAAUUCUUGAAAGAUAUACUACUGAAUCAAAGCAUCAUCAACAUCAAAAUUAAAAGUGUGUGUAUCUAUAUAUAUUUCUCAUUUUCCCGAGCGUCAAACUAAUACACCUGCUUAUUGUUUAUACACCUGUCUUCGUCUUUUGUUUUUCUGUAAAUUCCAACUAUAUAUUAGUAUAUAUAUAUGUAUAUAUAUAUAUAAACAGAUUCUACUUGAUAAAUUCUUAUAUAGAUUUUAUCCUUAUAAUUAAUUUUAUAUAUAAUGGUUUGCAAUACUAACUUCAGGAAACCUAUCAAUCACCUACUGACACACUAGUCAGAUUGACUACAUCCUCACCAGGAAAAGGGAACGAUGGCUACUUAUAAAUGCCAACACCUACCCAGGCGAAGAAUAGACUAGUAGUUAGCAACUUCAAGAUCAGGGAUAAAUGGAUGCCCAGAAGACGACCAGCAUGGAGGAGAAGGGUUUGGAAGCUUAAAGAUCUUGCAAAUGGACAGAGAUUUAGAGAUGUAUUAUUCGAAGCUUUUGACGAAAUAGAGGGGGAUGUAGCAUCACCUUAUGUGGAAGACAACUGGAGGUUUCUAUGGGAUAACAUGCUGAGGGCCACUGUGGAUGGUGCAAAGUCCCCUCUCGACCCAAGGUAACAUGGUGGUGGAACAAUGUUGUUGACAGGGCCAUUAGGAAAAAGAAACGGCUUGGAAGGUCUGGAAGAAUGGUGGUAGCAGGGAAUCAUAUCUGACUGCUAAAAGGGAAGCUAGGAGACAGGCUUAUUUAACCAGGGGAGAAGCAGAUAAGAAAAAAUUUGCCAAUGUUCUGCACCGUGAGGACCAAAGACUUGAGGUAUCUUGUGCUGUGAGAGAGAAUCGUGAUGUCAUAGAAGAGAAAUGUGUUUGCAUGGAUGAUGGUUCACUUGCAUUAAACGAGACUGCAAAGAGAGAAGUAAGGAGAUGCCACUAUGAAAAGUUGCUAAAUAAAGAGAAUGAACGGGAGAAUGAGGAAACUAGGGAUAGAUGAAUGGUUAGUGAGAGCUGUGCAAGCCAUGUACAGGGACGCUGUCAGUAAGGUGAGGAUUGGCAACAAGUACUGUGAAGAAUUCCAGGUAGAGGUUAGAGUCUACCAAGGUUCAGUCCUCAGCCCCCUCCUAUUUAUCAUAGUCCUCCAGGCAAUAACAGAGGAAUUCAAAACAGGAUGCCCUUGGGAGCUCCUCUAUACUGAUGACCUUGUCUUAUUGCUGAGUCACUAUCAGAACUAGAGAAGUUUCAGGUGUGGAAGCAAGGAUUAGAAUCAAAGGCCUUAGAGUCAAUCUAGCUAAAACCAAAGUCUUAAUAAGUAGGAAGGCAGACUAACCAUAAAUACCUUCAGGUAGAUGGCCCUGCUUGAUUUGUAGAAAAGGCGUAGGUAGAAACUCUAUAAGAUGUACCCAGUGCAUGCUAUGGACACAUAAGAGGUACAGCAAUAUCAAAGGAAGGCUAACUGGGAAGAUAGUUUUUGUAUGUGGCAGAUGCUCAGGAGCAAUAAACACUGGAAAUGUGCAGAGAACAACUUCUGUCACAUUCCAGGGAGAAAAACUAGAAGUAGUUAACAGCUUCCAUUACCUAGGUGACCAAGUCACUUGUUGGGGUGGAUGCUCUGAAAGUGUAGCUGCUAGAAUAAGAAUAGCCUGGGCAAAGUUCAGAGAGCUCCUACCUCUGCUGGUGACAAAGGGCCUCUCGCCCAGAGUAGAAGGUAGACUGUAUGACGCAUGUGUACAAACAGCCAUGCUACAUGGUAGUGAAAUAUGGGUGGUGACUGCUGAGGACAUGUGUAAGCUUGCAAGGAAAGAAGUCAGUAUACUCUGCUGGAUGGGUAAUGUCAGUGUGUAUACUCGACAGAGUGUAAAUACCUUGAGAGAAAAGUUGGACCUAAGAAGCAUCAGAUGUGGUGUGCAAGAGAGACGACUGCAUUGGUAUGGAAAUGUGGUGCAAAUGGAUGAGGACAGCUGUAUGAAAACGUGUCACACCCUAGCAGUUGAGGGAAUCUGUAGAAGAGGUAGAACCAGGAAUACCUGGGAUGAGGUGGUGAAGCAUGACCUUCAAACAUUGGGCCUUACUGAAGCAAUGACUAGUGACCGAGACCUCUGGAAAUAUGCUGUGCUUGAGAAGACCCGGCAAGCCAAGUGAGACCAUAACUUGUGGCCUAUCCCUAUGCCAGUGGUGCAACCAGCCUGCUUAUGUGUUACUUGUGAAGACCUGUUGAGGCAAGUGAAAUCACAAUCAAAAUCAAAUUCUCUGAUGUGGCCAAUUACAGCACUGCCUGACUGGCACCUGUGCCAGUGGAAUGUUAAAAGCACCAUCCAAGCAUGAUCGUUGCUAGGGCCACUGAUUGGCUCCUGUGCCAGUGACAUAUAAAAAGCACGAUUUGAGGUUGAUCGUUACCAGCGUUGCCUUACUGGCACUUGUGCCGGUAGCACGUGAAAAACAACAUUUGAGUGCCGUCAUUGCCAGUGUUGUUGGACUGGCUCCUGUGCAGGUGGCACAUAAAAAACACCAUUUGAGUGUGGCUGUCGCCAGUACUGCCUGACUGGCCCUCGUACCAGUGGCACAUAAAAGCACCCGCUACACUCUCAGAGUGGUUGGCAUUAGGAAGGGCAUCCAGCUGUAUAAACUCUGCCAGAUCAGACUGGAGCCUGGUGCGGCCAUCUGGCUUGCCAGUCCUCAGUCAAACCAUCCAACCAAUGCCAGCAUGGGAAGCAGACGUUAAAUGAUGAUGAUGAUGACUACAAAUAUGACUGAGGCAUCUAGGGGUGGUCAUAUAGUAUUCUAUGUACUUUGAGUAAAUAUAUAAACUGAAGGCAUAAAAGUUAGGGGUGGGCAAAAGCCCCAUUAUUUAAUUUAUUCGCACUCUACUUCUGAAAAUAUUAAUAGCUCUCUUUUUCUUUCUUCUUUCUGUCCUUUCCCCCCUCUUUCUUUCCUCUUUCCUUUCAUUCUUUUUUUCCUUUCUCUCCUUCCUUCCUUCCUCCUUUAUUUCCUUUGUUUAUUCCUAUUUUUCUUCUUUUCCUAUUUUCUUUCAUUCCUUCUUUCAAUAUGAAAACUGUAACACUAGACUGAAUCACUACAGUGAUAAAGAUCAAACUGUGACAGAAAUAUUCAAUCAUCAUCAUUAUUAUUAUCAUCAUCAUCAUCAUUAUUAUUAUUAUUAUAGCUAAAAUUACAUUACUGAUAACAAACUCCUCUUGUUCCAAAGUUCAUUACAGUUGACACAUCAAGGCAAGUGGUUAUAAUUAGCUCAAAGAUAUCUUUUAGCUCCUUGUUUUGUUUCAGACAUCAUGUAGUACUUACUACCUUAUGGUAUCUAUUACUUAAGGCGGCGAGCUGGCAGAAACGUUAGCACGCCGGGCGAAAUGCUUAGCGGUAUUUCGUCUGCCGUUACGUUGUGAGUUCAAAUUCUGCCGAGGUCAACUUUGCCUUUCAUCCUUUCGGGGUCGAUAAAUUAAGUACCGGUUACGCACUGGGGUCGAUGUAAUCGACUUAAUACCUAUGUCUGUCCUUGUUUGUCCCCUCUGUGUUUAGCCCCUCGUGGGUAAUAAAGAAAUAGGUAUUUCGUCUGCGUUACGUUGUGAGUUCAAAUUCCGGCGAGGUCGACUUUGCCUUUCAUCCUUUCGGGGUCGAUAAAUUAAGUACCAGUUACGCACUGGGGUCGAUGUAAUCAACUUAAUACCUAUGUCUGUCCUUGUUUGUCCGUUCUGUGUUUAGCCCCUUGUGGGUAAUAAAGAAAUAGGUAUCUAUUACUUGUUUCAGUCAUUAGACUGCGGCCAUGCUGGGGCACCAUCUUGAAAGGUUUUAGUUGAAUGAAUUGACACCAGUACAUUCUAUUUUUAUUUUUUUUAAAGCCUGGUACUUAUUUUCUCUGUUAGUCUCUUUUGCCGAACUGUUAGGUUAUGGGGAAUUAAACAAACCAAUACCAGUUGUCAAGUAGUGGUGGGGGACAGACAGACAGACACACACACACGCAGACACACACACACACACACACACACAUACACACACACAACAGCCUUCUUUCAGUUUCCAUCUGCCAAAUUCACUCACAAGGCUUUGGUUGACCUGAGGAUAUAGAAGAAGGCAUUUGCCCAUGGUGCCAUGUAGUUUGGAAGCAAACUUUUUACCACACAGCCACACCAUAGAUAUAUUGUAAUGGUUGUAUAUUACUUUCUUAUUUAACAUGUCUGUGAGUCUUCAGGUGCAAAGAAAUCAUCAUCCAUACCUGUGUUGUUUAGGCCCAGUUCAACCCAUUCAUGUCUCUUGUUUUAGAUGCAUAUUGCACUGAUGGUCAGUAACAUUCCAUCAAUGACCAGUCCAGUUUUUUGUUCAAAUUGAAUGUUUCUAGGACCAUAUAUUUCAAACUCUCCUUCAUUUUUAGACAACAGGGUGUAAUUUGAAGAUUUCACUUUUAUUUCUAGCAGGUUGGACAACUAUGUAAAGAUGCCCUCAUAUUGAGUUGUAGUGUGUCUACAAAACAGCAGCAGUGUGUUUCACAAGGAUUAAGUUGUCUUUUAUUCAUUGGCCUUGGCUGGCUGCAACCACUGACUAGCUAGCAGAUAAACAAUCUAUUUAUAACUGAUAUCUGUCAAAGAAAAGUCUCCAAAGACAUAAUUGUUAUUGAAAUUUCAACGAAUCUAUUGUCUUGUUUUGCUGGUCAACUAGCUACUGAUAAAAAAGAAAAACAAAGCCUUGUGAGUGGAUUUGGUAGAUGGAAAUUGAAAGAAGCUUAUCGUAUAUAUAUGUGUGUGUUUGUGUGUCUGUGUUUGUCCCCCCCAACAUCGCUUGACAACCGAUGCUGGUGUAUUUACAUCCCGUAACUUAGCAGUUCAGCAAAAGAGAUCGAUAGAAUAAGUACUAGGCUUACAAAGAAUAAGUCCUGGGGUCGAUUUGCUCGACUAAAGGCGGUGCUCCAGCAUGGCCACAGUCAAAUGACUGAAACAAGUAAAAGAGUAAAGAGUAUCCUCAUUAAAUGUUCAUGUUCCAUGCUGGCUGGCAUGGGUUGGACAGUUUGACAGGAACCAAUGGGUCCAACAACUACAUGGUGCUCUAGUGUCUGUUUGGCAUGGUUUCUAUGGCUGGAUACCCUUCUUAAUGUCCACCACUUUACAGUGUGUAGUGGGUACUUUUUUUUUGUACCACCAGCUUAAGUGAGGUCACCAUGCAACUUGCAAGACUACAAAACAUGAGUUUGGAGGUGGAGUUUUAUGCUUGGAGAAUGAGAAGAGAGGGGUGAAGUAUGAAAGAAAAGGGUCAGAGAAGAGUAGGCUUCUUACUGUGGAGGAGUGAUAUAACAAAAAAUAUAAUAAAUAAGUAAAAGCACAGGCAUGCCUGUGUGGUAAGAAAUUUGUUUCCCAACCACAUGGUUCUGGGUUCAGUCCCACUGCAAAGAACCAUGGGCAAGUGUCUUCUACGAUAGUCUCGGGCCAACCAAACCCUUGUAAGUAGAUCUAGUUGAUGGAAACUGAAAGAAGCCUGUCAUAUAUCAUCAUCCUUAACAUCCAUUUUCCAUGGUUGGUUAAUUUGAUGGAGAGCUGUUCCGGGUUCCAGUCUGAUUUGGCUUGGUUUCUAUGGUUCAAUGCCCUUCCUAAUGCUAACCACUUUACAGUGUGUGUACUGGGUGCUUUUAAUGUGGCACUGGGAUGAGUAUGUAUAUAUAUAUAUAUAUAUAUAUAUAUGUGUGUGUAUAUAUGUGUGUAUAUUUAUGUGUCUUUGUGUCUAUGUUUGUCCCUCACCAUUGUUUGAUAACCUUUGUUGGUGUGUUUACAUCCCUGUAAGUCGGGCAGUUUAGCAAAAGAGAUCACUAGAACAAGUACCCAGUUUUAAAAAAAAUAAAAGUGCUGGAGCCAAUUUGUUCGACUGGAAUUCUUCUAUGCAUUACCCCAGCAUUGACACAAUCUUAUGACUGAAACAUGUACAAGAUAACCGUAAUUCCACAGCUUCAUGAUUUAUAAUAAUUCUAGUAAAAUAUUGAAGUUUUAUUUUUCUCUUUAUUUUCAGGAAUUUUGUAAUACAGAAGAAAUUUUGCAGACACUUGAUCAUGACCAAAAAAAAAAAAAAACCAACUUGAAAAUGCUUAAUUCAAGCAGACUACUGGCUACUGUAUUCUGUUUUCUAUGGAUUUGAAAUAAUUUUUUUUUUUAAUGUUUUGUCUAUCAUUCUUUCUAUUAUCUUUACUUUACAAUUAUUGUGGUUUGAUUAUGGUUUCUUCAAGGUGACUGUAAUUGUACAUUUUUUAAUUUUAUUUUUAUAUUUUUUUUGUAGUUUUUGUUAAAUUUUAUAACUGUUCUUUUUUUUAUGUUUUCAGCUAAACUGUCAUGUUUAAUUUAUGAAAUGGAAAAAAAGAAUUAGAAUUAAGAAAAUGUAACUACAACAGUUAGUAUUAAAGUAGGGAAUAGGCUAUUUCUAAUGUUAAUGUGUUUAUUUUAGUUUCUCAUACAAAUUAUGCUACAUUACACACACAUACACUGUUUGUAAUAUAAUCUUUGUAGUAAGUAUAGUGAGUAGAACAAUUCUGUAUAUUUUGACUUUGUUAAAAAUCUAAUGACAUUAAUGUCAAAACACACAUUUAGUGACAUGUAACAAGGUAAAUAUAUCAAUUACUUUAUUUGGAACCAGCAGAAUUUGUAACUCUAAUUUAUAAACACACAUUUGUCCCCCUCUUUACUCGCAUGCAUCAGACACACUUUUAAGCACAUAUAUUUAAUUAUAUUUUGAAUUUAGAUAAAAUACAUUGACCUAUUUGUUUUAAUAUGAAAUAUGCCAUCUUGCAAUUUUGCAUAAUGAAUUUCUAUGCAUAAAUAUUUUGUUUUCUUUUCCUUGAUAACCAAUGAAUAUAAAUGAAAAGCAAUGGUUUCUCUUUUUCCGUGAAUAUUUAAAUUCUGGAAGAAUAAUAACAAUGGAAAAUGAUUGGAUAAUCUAAAUACAUAUUAAUAAUGGGUGAAGUAACAAUGGAAGGAAAUUAUUAUAAAGUUCUGUAUAAAAAUGGAGAAAUAAAACAAUAACAAACCAAAAACUAGAUUUAUCACUUUCUCUUUGCUAAUGCAUUCAUUAGCAUAAAUUGAAUUUGCAAAUAUGUUUAUACAUUGUGAAGGCAUGUGGCAUAGUGGUUAGGGUGUUAGACUCAUAAUCACUAAAUUGUGGUUUCAAUUCUUGAACUGGGUGGAGUAUUGUUUUUUGAGUGAAAUACUUUUUUCUCAUUGUUCCAGUCCAGUCAACUGUAAAUGAUGAUUCUGUGAUGAACUGGCAUCUUGUUCAGAGGGAAUGUUUUGAUCUUGGUCACUUCCUCACCAAGGAAAUUGGGUAACCAACCUUAUCAGUCCCAGAUCAGACACUAAGAAAUGAUGGAUACUAAGGCAUGAUGUAUGUAGGUAGAUGAGUUUAAUAGUGUGUAGUUUACUGUUUGACAGUUCAGUAGUUGAACAAAACACCUUGUUUCAUGUUGUUCCAGUCCUACUGGCUGUAAAUAAGUAACCUUGUGAUGAACCUGCAUCCCAUUCAGAGAGAAUAUUGUGAUUUCAGUCACUUAUUUGCUAUGCAUAAGCAGUCUUAUGAGCCAUAGAUUACUGUAAUCCCUCACCAUAUUACAGUUCACCUACCAUAGUUUAUUAUAAGCUUCUGUUGCUUCAUUUAAGUCAUCCUGUAAAGAAGAAAGUGUAUCUUCAGCUUAGAUUAUUAUGAGGCUCCGAGUCAUCUGGAUUUCUGAGGUAUUAAGCGGUAAGACUAUGACUCGCACCAGAAUGGAACAACUCUCUUUUACAGAGUUACCUCCCAGCUGUUGCUUGAACUUAUUUUCAACUGAACGGACUGGAGCAAUAUGAAAUGAAAUGUCUUGCUGAAGAGUACAAUUCUUCACAUGGUCUGUAAAUUGAUCCCAUGAACUAUUGAUCAUGACUCUAACGUCCUAACCACUUAGUUACAUGCUUUCACAACUCUUUCUAUAGGCCUCAAUUAUAUGGAAUUGUUCGUAUUGUGACUGUAUUUCAAUCAAUUCUCUCCCUAUCAUGUCAAAUUGGAUUUGAUAUGAAUGACCAAAAGAUUAGUUGACACUUAGUAUAGUUGUUCCGUUGAGGAAUCCUAUUAUCUCUCAAAGUAUAGGGAUAUUGCUGAAGACUUUGCUUUUAUACAGCAUUUUGAAGCCAAAUCAAACAACUAGAGCUAUUUUAUCUUUGAAUAAUAUUUACAAGAACCAAGCACCCUCACGAGCAUUACCUGACACCUUGGUGAGGUGAGCUGCCAAUGAUGACAAGAAUUUUGUGAUUAGCAGCCCAGUCCUUCCAAACAUCUCAAAUGUUACAGGUUGGAAGAAAUAAUUCAUUGCCAGGUCCCAGUUCUUCAAGGUUUUGUUCCAUUUGGCUAUGGAAGCAGUGACCCUCCCAUUUAGCAUAGCAUUCAGGACAUGGAAGGGAGCAAAAGAGUCACAGACCGUGGCAUCCUGUUCAUAUUUUGAAUAAAAACUAUACGUUUUUCAGAUUAACAAAUAAAAAAUUUAUAGGAGUUGAGCUCCCUAUUAAUAACUUAUAAGAUACUUGUCUCUUAGACAAUGCUUACAGCAAUUACUGUACAUAUCUUAAGGUACUUAGUUAUUCAGUUUCGAUUUCAAUGUAGUGCUAAUAGGGAAUAUAAACAGCACCUUAAUCAGUAGAAUACUUUAUUGGACUGGACAAUCAUUUCUGUAUUAAAAACCUGCAACAAGCUGCUAGAUAUUAUAUUUCUAUUUCCCCAUUGUUGAAUGAAGCUUCCGCAUACUGUAACCAGCUUAUCUAUUUUGGUUAUAGGGUUAACUAAAUGUUGUUAUGAUUAGGUGGUUAGCUCUGAUCAAUUGCCUUCUUGCUGUAAUUUGAACUCAGAACAAAGAAUCAGAACAGAUAUUGCAACAAAUCUCUUUCAGUGCUCAAACCAUUCUUAUUUCUUUACUACCCACAAGGGGUUAAACAUAGAGGGGACAAACAAGAAUAGACAAGGGAUUAAGUCAAUUACAUCGACUCCAGUGCGUAACUGGUACUUAAUUUAUCGACCCCGAAAGGAUGAAAGGCAAAGUCGACCUCAGCAGAUUUUGAACUCAGAACGUAACAGCAGACGAAAUACCACUAAGUAUUUUGCCCAGUAUGCUAAUGUUUCUGCCAGCUUGCCACCUUACGGUUCUCAACAAUGCUCAAACAAUUCUGCCAAUGUACCACCCUGGACAGGUAUUUUAUUGACCUCCACUCCCCCACUGCCUUGCACCAAGAUUAAAAGCAAUGAUGAUCUCACUAGGAUUUGAACUAUGAGUACAGAGGGCCAGAAUGAAUGACACAAGGUACUUGGUAUUCUAUUUGAUACUUUAGCAGUAUCAACCAGCUCAACUUAUUUUUGCUGCUGUUCAACAUUCAAUUUUGCGUUGAAGCUUAGGAGAAGAAAUACAUUUUGAGGGAUGCAAAUUUAAGUAUAUAACUACUGUGGACGCAAUUAGUUUUACAACUGGAUAUUCUUACUACUACUAACCAUUCAGCCAACUAAAGAAAUAUGAGUGCAAUAUAUUAUUAACUAGAAAGCAUGAAGCAAGCAGAAUGAUACAUCGUGAAAUAUGACUUUCUCUGUAUGAAAUAAUAUGACGUCCAUUUAUAAUAUGGUCACUAAUGUGUCAUUGCAGCUGUAUAUUUUCACAACACAACUGUAGUCCUUAUCAAAUCACUUAGACCUUCAGCACUACAGCAUUAUCACUUCAUCAUUAAAGCCACGAGCACACACACAAUGAUUAAUGGUAUCCAGUUAUAGACAUAUGACACAUAUAUAAGCACUGCUUUUGUGAAAAGAAACAAUUUAAAUAGUCCAACAGAAUAAUAUCAGUCUUGUUCACUUCAGCUACUCAAAGAUAUAACCACUUUACAUAACUAGUAAACAAUCUUAUAUCUGGACUCAAUACUAUCAAAAAUGUGUCUAAAACCUUCAAAUUUGCCUGAUGUAAAUGUUGUCAACUCACCAUCAUUAAGAACCUUCUCUGGUAAUCUCGGAUCCUCAAAGACAACAAAGGUUACAACACAUUACUCCCUUCCUUUAUUGCUUAAUUCCCCUUUUCUCUUUAUUUGUUUCUUUGUUGAAUUAAUUUUGAGGUUUCUUGUUUCUGUGGUUGAUAUCUGAUUCCAUUUGGUGUUUCUAAAGUGAAAGAUCACUUAUAUUUUGCAAUAAUUUAAUCUUUCAUGCUUUUAAUUUCUUGUAUCUUUUAAUCAACUUCUCUUUACAUGUUCAAAUAAAGAUUUUUGUUUUAUGAAUU
rnacentral:lncRNA from 1 species